rnacentral:misc_RNA from 1 species
GAUGAAGAACGUAGCGAAAUGCGAUAAGUAAUGUGAAUUGCAGAAUUCAGUGAAUCAUCGAAUCUUUGAACACACAUUGCGCCCGCUAGUAUUCUGGCGGGCAUGCCUGUCCGAGCGUCAUUUCAACCCUCAAGCCCCCGGGCUUGGUGUUGGGGAUCGGCGAGCCUCCGCGCCCGCCGUCCCCUAAAUCUAGUGGCGGUCUCGCUGUAGCUUCCUCUGCGUAGUAGCACACCUCGCACUGGGAAACAGCGCGGCCACGCCGUUAAACCCCCAACUUCUGAACGUUUGACCUCGGAUCAGGUAGGAAUACCCGCUGAACUUAAGCAUAUCAAUAAGCGGAGGA